UUAAUUCAAAUUUGUAUGCAGUUAGAACAGCGCCUCUAGCGGCAAACGUUCCAACUCCAUAUAAAUUUGAGUUA
rnacentral:pre_miRNA from 1 species